rnacentral:lncRNA from 1 species
GGGUAAGCUUGGUACUACCUCUUUACCAAUUUGUUUCUUUGUUUCUUUGUUUUUUUGUUAUUGAAGAGUAAUGGAUAGUUUCCAAAUAUUAAGAAGUGAGUCUGUGGAAUAAAUCAGAGAUUGAUUUAUGAGUUAUUAAUUAUGUAAUUGGAGUACUGAGUGAUUGAAUUAUAUGAAAAGUUAUUGGAAGAUUAUGAUUGUUGUUUAUUGAGAGCUGUGUGUGUUUGGACAGAGGAAGUCUGUGAUUACAAAAAUUAUGUAAAUUCAGAUUG